UACGUAGGGUGCAAGCGUUGUCCGGAAUUAUUGGGCGUAAAGAGCUCGUAGGCGGUUUGUCGCGUCGGCUGUGAAAACCUGGGGCUCAACCCCGGGCCUGCAGCCGAUACGGGCAAACUAGAAUUCGGUAGGGGAGACUGGAAUUCCUGGUGUAGCGGUGAAAUGCGCAGAUAUCAGGAGGAACACCGGUGGCGAAGGCGGGUCUCUGGGCCGAUACUGACGCUGAUGCGCGAAAGCCAGGGGAGCGAACGGG
rnacentral:rRNA from 1 species